rnacentral:rRNA from 1 species
UACAGAGGUCUCAAGCGUUGUUCGGAUUCAUUGGGCGUAAAGGGUGCGUAGGUGGCGCUGUAAGUCAGGUGUGAAAUUUCGGAGCUUAACUCCGAAACUGCAUUUGAUACUGCGGUGCUUGAGGACUGGAGAGGAGACCUGGAAUUUACGGUGUAGCAGUGAAAUGCGUAGAGAUCGUAAGGAAGACCAGUGGCGAAGGCGGGUCUCUG